GAGGCGAACCAGGGGAACUGAAACAUCUAAGUACCCUGAGGAAAAGAAAUCAACCGAGAUUCCCUAAGUAGCGGCGAGCGAACGGGGACCAGCCCUUAAGCUGAACAACCGGUAGGAGAAGGCUCUGGAAAGUGCCGCCAUAGUGGGUGAUAGCCCCGUAUCCGAAACCCGAGUUCAGUGAAAACGAGUAGGUCGGCGCACGUGAAACGUUGACUGAAGAUGGGGGGACCAUCCUCCAAGGCUAAAUACUCCUGACUGACCGAUAGUGAACCAGUACCGUGAGGGAAAGGCGAAAAGAACCCCUGUGAGGGGAGUGAAAUAGAUCCUGAAACCGUAUGCGUACAAGCAGUCGGAGCACCUUCGGGUGUGACGGCGUACCUUUUGUAUAAUGGGUCAGCGACUUAUGUUCAGUGGCGAGGUUAACCGUCUAGGGGAGCCGUAGGGAAACCGAGUCUGAAUAGGGCGACUUAGUCGCUGGGCAUAGACCCGAAACCGGGCGAUCUAUCCAUGAGCAGGUUGAAGGUGCCGUAACAGGCACUGGAGGACCGAACCCACUGUCGUUGAAAAGCCAGGGGAUGACUUGUGGAUCGGAGUGAAAGGCUAAUCAAGCCCGGAGAUAGCUGGUUCUCCCCGAAAGCUAUUUAGGUAGCGCCUCGGACGAAUACCACUGGGGGUAGAGCACUGUUUGGGCUAGGGGGUCAUCCCGACUUACCAACCCCAUGCAAACUCCGAAUACCAGUGAGUACUAUCCGGGAGACACACGGCGGGUGCUAACGUCCGUCGUGAAGAGGGAAACAACCCAGACCGCCAGCUAAGGUCCCCAAGUACCAGUUAAGUGGGAAACGAUGUGGGAAGGCUCAGACAGCUAGGAGGUUGGCUUAGAAGCAGCCACCCUUUAAAGAAAGCGUAAUAGCUCACUAGUCGAGUCGGCCUGCGCGGAAGAUGUAACGGGGCUCAAACUGGUCACCGAAGCUGCGGCUGCAUACGUUGUAUGCGGGGUAGGGGAGCGUUCUGUAAGCCUGCGAAGGUGUGU
rnacentral:rRNA from 1 species